rnacentral:rRNA from 1 species
GACGAACGCUGGCGGCGUGCUUAACACAUGCAAGUCGAACGGAAAGGCCCUGCGUUUGUGGGGUGCUCGAGUGGCGAACGGGUGAGUAACACGUGAGUAACCUGCCCUUGACUUUGGGAUAACUUCAGGAAACUGGGGCUAAUACCGGAUAGGAGCUCCUGCUGCAUGGUGGGGGUUGGAAAGUUUCGGCGGUUGGGGAUGGACUCGCGGCUUAUCAGCUUGUUGGUGGGGUAGUGGCUUACCAAGGCUUUGACGGGUAGCCGGCCUGAGAGGGUGACCGGCCACAUUGGGACUGAGAUACGGCCCAGACGCCUACGGGAGGCAGCAGUGGGGAAUAUUGCACAAUGGGCGGAAGCCUGAUGCAGCAACGCCGCGUGCGGGAUGACGGCCUUCGGGUUGUAAACCGCUUUCGCCUGUGACGAAGCGUGAGUGACGGUAAUGGGUAAAGAAGCACCGGCUAACUACGUG